AAUGAACGCUGGCGGCGCGCCUAAUACAUGCAAGUCGAGCGAGAAGACGUAGCAAUACGUUUGUAAAGCGGCGAACGGGUGAGGGAUACAUGGGUAACCUACCCUCGAGUGGGGAAUAACUAGCCGAAAGGUUAGCUAAUACCGCGUACGCUUCUUGGACUUCGGUUCAGGGAGGAAAGCGAUACCGUGGGUAUCGCGCUCUUGGAUGGGCUCAUGUCCUAUCAGCUUGUUGGUGAGGUAACGGCUCACCAAGGCUUCGACGGGUAGCUGGUCUGAGAGGACGAUCAGCCACACUGGCACUGCGACACGGGCCAGACUCCUACGGGAGGCAGCAGUAAGGAAUAUUGCGCAAUGGGCGAAAGCCUGACGCAGCGACGCCGCGGUGGGGGAGUGAAGGUCGUUCGGUA
rnacentral:rRNA from 1 species